GCUUCUUAAAUUUGUAUUUCGUUAAUUGGUAAAACCAAUAUACAAAUAAGUUAAUCAGCUAAAACUGUGUAUACCAUAAUUAUUCAGAGAUAAAUAUAAAAUAAUGCAAAUAGAUCUGCUGAUGGACUUGUAACGAUGUCGAUUGGCGGCGCACUUUCGAUCAACUGCGGGGCACAUCAAUAAGGAGCAAUUGUGGCGCCAUCAGGGCCAUAACAUGGACACAAACCUGAAAGACAUUGACUAAUAACUUAUUUAUGGAGAGUUUUGCACAUUGAAAAGUGCGCAAAAAAAAAACGAGCAAAAGGAAAGGACAGAAAGAAAGGAAAAAAAUGAAAAUGAUGUAGGAAAACAAACGGCGGCCGCUUCCGUUGGCCGCCAUAACACCGGAAAUAGCUGCAUGCAGACACACACACACACACACACAUACUCACAUGCUUAUGCACUUGCCACACACACACCAGAGACAAAUGCCAUUUACAAUUUUUGUACAUAAAGCCGCUUAAGCAGCACUCUAUGACCUGCUCCUUCUCCUUCUCCUUCUCCUCCUCCUCGCCUCCCUUGACAUGUAAUUUGUUUUUAUGUCUGCCCAUAUACGUGAGAUAACGCGACGAGUUCCUCUUUCAGUUCUUUGCUUUCCUUUCCCAUUUUUUUUGCUCGCGCUUCCUUCUUUUCGUGCACACAACUUCGAUUAACAUUGGCAACACUCAAAAGGGAAAGGGAGAGGAGGGGAAAGGGGAAGGCAGCUGGUCCAAAACCCAAACAACAAGUGGCAGUCGACGCGACUGUCGAAUGGCCCUGGCCGUGAAUUCCAUAUAUAAUUUUUGUGUGCGCUUCUGCUGUCGGGCGGAGAAGAAGGAGGAGGAGGGGGAGGAGGCAUGCCACGCCGUGGCAAACUGGCAACUGGCAACUGGCAACUGGCAUGGCGUAAAGUGAAAAAUAUCCUUGCCGCGUUGUGUUGCAUUUGAAAUUGUUCGCUAAAAAGCAUCGAACGAACGUAUUGAACUUUCCUCAAAGUGUGGGCAAAAGUUUUGAAAAACUGCCACUGCCACAGAGUUUGCGACUCUGUGAGCUUAGAGAAUGGGAUGAGUUCUUGCCACUGCCGCAGUUUGACAUUAAUGGAAGCUCUUCGCUUGUCUCGUCUAUACAUAUAUAACAAAGAAUAUAUAUUAAUAUUGGCAGACGUGUUUAGUUUUAAAUGUCAGACUUUUGUUUCACUCUUUACUCUUCUUUUAUUUUUUUUUUUGGGUAGAGAAUUUCCGCGUCUCGUGGAUGGGUUGCUUAUGAGAGAAACCUAGGGAGAAAGAAAGAGAGCUCAAAGUAUUUUCAAAAUUUGUUGAUUUAGCUCAAAACAAAAUUGGAAUUGUUUACAUUGAGAGAGCUUAAGCGCGUGCGUUGCGUAUAUCAACUUUAAAUACUAUUUAAGUUUAUUAUUUGUCAAGAACUUUUCAAAUAUUUACCCACAUACACGAGACGUUGAAUUUAGGCAGCUGUUUGGAAUUAUUGUAAAUCAUUUUGUUGUAUUCUUGAUCAACUUUACAUUUUUCCAUUGUUUUUGUUUAUUUAUCAAAUCGCAACAAAUACUUAUUUCGAA